rnacentral:misc_RNA from 1 species
UGGUUCUGGCAUCGAUGAAGAACGCAGCGAAAUGCGAUAAGUAAUGUGAAUUGCAGAAUUCAGUGAAUCAUCGAAUCUUUGAACGCACAUUGCGCCCUCUGGUAUUCCGGAGGGCAUGUCUGUUCGAGCGUCGCAAGCACAAGAUCAAGCUAAUUGCUUGGAAUUGGGGGCCACCCUCACCGGUGCUCCUGUAAACGAACGGCGGCUCAGUUUUUGGCCCUAGCGCGUUGAAAUCUUUCGCUAGCAGAAGCAAUCAACUGUUCCUCAGCCUUACGCGCAUCAACGUGCGUGCCAUCAAUCGACCUCGGAUCAGACAGGAAUACCCGCUGA